GUCAGUCUCAGAAGUUUAUAUUAAAACAAUACUUUAAAAAGUAUUGCUUAAGAUCAGAUGUAGUUAGUUUCUAAUCUAGCUACCCGUAUAUUUUGUUUUUUAUUUCACGCUGCUGACUGUACUGGAGAGACUAUUUUUAUCGCAACACUAGUACGCUUAUUGUUUUAGUUUAUUGCUCAACAUGGUCACUUCGAAAGACUAGAAAGUUAGUCAUGUUACUGAUGUAAAUUGUUUAGAAAUGUUCGUUAUUUAGCGAAAAAUAUGCUGCUUAUAUACAUGAUACACGGAAUAUGUGUUUAUUUAUACUGAGAAUUUGAAGAUAGUCGUGGGUAGCGUCUGGAUGAACCAGAGUAACUUUACCGGCAGAUACUGCAGGAGGCCUACAUCCAGCUGUGUGAUCUUACAGUUGGCCAGAUAGACUACAGUUUCCACCAUCGAUCAAUGAAACUGGAGUAAUUAUUAUUAAUAUUACUAUGAAGACUUGUGUGGUAGUAAAUAUGCUAAAUAUAUUGCUUGUAUAUUCAAUAUCGUAUGACCAAUAUUUUUUAUGUCAAUAAAACACUUCAGCUUACGCUAAAGGAAGGCAGAUGAGCCAAUAUGUCAUCCUAUAGACGCUGGCAUUACACAAGGAAGUAUAAGCAACUUCGUCAACUUCGAAAUCAAUGUUAUUUCUUGUGCCAGAAAACCCAGUAUGGAACAUACAAACAUUUAAGAACCCACAACCCUUUUAAGCAGAAGAACACAAGUCACUAUUACUUUUUCGUUGGAUAAUAGGUGAGUAGAUGGUGACCACCGAGACCUAUGUACUCAAAGCCUCACCGCAGAUUUUCUGUUGCACAGCGAUUUUUAUAAUAUAAUUGGAUUUCUAAAUUAUUUUUACAUUAAUAUUGAAAAUAUCGUUCUGA